AACAUGUAACCUUGACUGGACUGGAACUCACUCUGUAGACCAGGCUGGCUUCAAACUCAAAGAUCCACCUGCCCCUGCUGGGUGCUGGGACUAAAGGCCUGCACCACACGCCUGACUGGUGAAUUGUCUUCUAAUUCUAAAUCUGGUACUAAGUGCUCUAAGAAAGCUCAAGAGGCUCACUGGUGUUGUGGUGGCCCAGGGCGUCAGUAGUGCCGUGACCUCCAGCAAGCGUAUGGCCUGGCAGUGGAGACUGACUAACCCUAAGGUAAAAAAACGGAUCCUGUGAGGGGAGCCCCCAUAGAAUGGGUCUGCGUGUGCCAGAGGGAAGAAAAUCAGAGCCAUCGAAACAUAGGGGCUACCAUUUGCUGAAGUUGGGGUCGAUCUGGAAAGGUGUCCCAGAAAACACAGGCAGCACCCACAGAUAAGAACAGCUUUUGUAGUUUAAACUCUUUAAAUGUGUAAGGAUGUUUUGCUUGCGUGUAUGUCCGUGCCCCACAUGCCCAGAGAGUCCAGAAGAGGGCGCUGGUCACUGAAACUGAAGUUACA
rnacentral:lncRNA from 1 species